rnacentral:rRNA from 1 species
AUGGAUGAAGGCAUUUACAAUGUUAUGACUACUUUUCUGAAUGAUAAAACUAAGCAAUGGCAUCUUAACAUCAAGAGUUCAACACAGUUCCUAUCUACAUGGCAUGAACCUAACAGCAAAAGAGGUACUCGAGCACAAAUGCACCAAUUUGUCGAAGCGCCAACUCACCUAUCAUCUGACACAGCUGCAUCAGCGCCGGCCACCUCCACGUCCUGCUUCUCCGCCUCAUCAUCAGACUUCUUGUUAGCCGCGGCCUCCGCCUCCAUCAGCCUCCUGACCCUCCUCUUCUCCUUCUUCUCCUUCCUCCUCUCCUCCCUCCGCCGCAUCACCUCCGCCCUCUGCGCCAGGGCGGCCUCGUCCACCACCGCCGGCUCCUCAAGGUCGUCACCACCAUCCACUUCCGGGCCCUGCUUCCCCGGCUCUCCGUCAGACUUCUUGCUCGCCGCCGCCUCGGCCUCCGCCAACUUCCUGGCCCGCAUCUUCUCCUUCUUCUUCUUCCUCUUCUCCUUCUCCUCCUUCCUCCUCUCCUUCCUCCGCCGCUCCAGCUCCGCCUUCGACGCAGGGUCCGCCUCGUCCACGGCCGGCUCCUCCAGGCCCUCCGCCUUCUCCUCCGGGCCCUCCGCCUCCACCGCCGGAGCGGGUGAUUUCUCCGGAGACGCCUUCUUGUUCUUGGCGCUCUUGGUCCGGGGAGGGCGGGGCCCCGGGCGCUUGGGCCGGGGCCGCUUGGAGGCCACCAGCCGCACCUUUAUCUUCUUCUCCUCCGCGGCAGCCUCCCCCUCGGCGCCCCCGCCGGGGAGGAGCGCGUGGAGCUUCUGCUUCAGCUUCUUGCGCGCGAGCACCAUGGCGGCGGCGGCGGCGGAGUGGAGAGAAAGACAGAGAGAGGGGAGAGGAAGAGACUUGACGAGACGGCGAGGUUUAUAG